UACGUAGGGUGCAAGCGUUAAUCGGAAUUACUGGGCGUAAAGCGUGCGCAGGCGGUGAUGUAAGACAGGUGUGAAAUCCCCGGGCUUAACCCUGGGAACUGCAUUUGUGACUGCAUCGCUGGAGUGCGGCAGAGGGGGGAUGGAAUUCCGCGUGUAGCAGUGAAAUGCGUAGAUAUGCGGAGGAACACCGAUGGCGAAGGCAAUCCCCUGGGCCUGCACUGACGCUCAUGCACGAAAGCGUGGGGAGCAAACAGG
rnacentral:rRNA from 1 species